AUGUGUGUGUUUGUGUUCACCUCCCCACCCGUGUUUGUCUCUAGAACAUGUGAAAGAAUGAUGGAGAGUUCUGAAAUUCAAAUUACAUUUAUUUUGAACAAAUCAAUCAAAAGAAAACUUUACCACAUGCAGGGGCUCACGCUGCGUGGUGCCGUCAGCUUUCAGCGAGCCGAGACCCACCCCACCCGCUUUGGCCCUCCUCCGUCCUCCACCUCCAUGGCCCCCUCCCUCGGAGAGAGAGAGAGAGCGAGAGAAGCUUUAGCAGAUUCAGCUCCAGCGAGACGCAGGUAUCUUUUCUAUCAUGGCCCGCCCCUCCCUCGCCUGCCUUGGACUUCUACUCCUUCUCAUUGGCCGGACAGCAGCAGGGCCCAAGCCUCGCCCGUCAUCCAGGGCUGUCCGCUCCAGUGCCUGUCAGGAACACAGCGUGCUCCACAGCAGGAUGGAUAAGGUGGAAAAGCGUGUGGAGGACACCGUGCUGAAGCUGGAAGCUGAGUUGGCCCUUCUUCUGAAGGCCAUCGAGACCCCAGACUGGGCUCCCCCGCCACACUCUGGCAAACCCAUCAUCGACAUUCUGGAUGAGCCCAGCAUGGCGGGCGCGAGCUCCUGAAGCGCAAGGGAGGGGCCAAAGGCAACAGGAGCAGGAAACGGCCCUCAGUCAGACAGGGAUGAGACAAUGUUGCACAGAACAAUGGGGCUGAAAUGCCACCGACAGACGACCUAGGGGAAGGAGCUAUGCAGAAGACAAAUAUGACUUCCUGUUCUUUGACCAUCGGCAGUUUUAGACGCUUUCGACUGAAACUGUUGUUAAUGAAUUGAAUGUAGUCAGUGCAUGCAUAGUCUUGAACAAGUACACACAGUUCCAGUAAGGACUCUGGGAGGGGUGCAAUGUGAUUGGCUGCUGAGUGCAAAUGUACACAACCUUCCACCCAAUUCAUCAAUUAUUUAUCAAAAUUG
rnacentral:lncRNA from 1 species